GUGACAAUGCUCAAGGAAUGUAAGCAACCACCAGUGGAAGAGCCAAGGACAAUUUUCACAAGAGCCUCUGAAGGGAGUGCCACCCAGCUAACACCUUGAUUUCAGACUUCUGGUCUUCAGAAUCAUGAGAGAACACAUUCCUGCUGUUUUGGCUGUGAUCGACCUGCCGCGCUCUGAUCCUGUCUGCAGCGGAGACUCACCCAAAGGCUGCAGAAGUCCCAGAGUAAGACAUGGGGACCGGCCCAGACCCAGAGUAGAACCAACAGAGUGGAGGAAACCGCGGUGUUAGCGCGACCCGGAUGCGCAUCCCUAGGAACCGGAAGUAAGACGCAGGGUCACCUCACAAUCCACACUUCGUUCGCCAGAAGCCUCUGGGCGCAUGCGUCAUGCCUCUGGGGGCGGGGCAGUGCCUGGUGAGCCCCGCCCCUGGUCACGCCCGUCUCGGCGCUCAGAGUUGUGCUGCGAACCAAUGAGCUUGAUGAUUCUGUGCUGCUUAGCUACGACAGUUGGGAUAAGGAGUACUUCAACUCUAGGGUUCCAAAGAAGAGUUUGUUUUGUUUUGAUAGGUACUGGGGAUUGAACCAGGACUUUCACACUCAAGUACAUCCCAGACCUUUUUAUUUUUUAAUUUGAGAUAGGGUCUCGCUAAAUUGCCCAGAUGGGACUCGAAUGUGGGAUCUUUUUGCUUCACCUCCCGCCAAGGAGGUCUUUUAAAUAUGUUAUUCUUAGCUCCUUAAAGAGAAUGUGAGGAGGGCUGGGGAUUUACCUCAGCGGUUCUGCCGCCUGCCACGCAAGCACAAGGACCCGCGUUCGAUCCCCGCUACCACAAAAGCGAAAAUGUAAAGAUAAAUGCGAGAUACAAGAUUUCUUGGAAAAACCGAGGAGAAAGAAUGGACUGGAAGUGUUGCAAGACACUUCUCGAAGGCCAGCUCAAGGGAAUGCUACAGACUCAAGAGUUUUAUGAACACAAUACAGAAAUCCAUACUAUAAAACAAUGACCAGGAAUUGAAACUAGAGCCAUGGAAUUCCACAUGAGAAAU